GGUGAAGCAACAGUGCUUCAGUGACGGAGUUUCAGUGUCAAGUUUUCAUGCCAUGACCACUGGGGCGGAAACCAUGACGUUGCCUUGGACUUCAAACUAAACCAUCUCAUUCUGGCUUUUUUCUAACCUCGAAAUCUCAGAAGGACAGGUCUAAUGGACGCAGCCUCCAUAGGAUGCAACCUUGCAUUUGAGAAACACCCCUAGAACGGUCAACUUACCCCAUACUCUAACCUGAAUGCAGGGAUCAUAAAACUUUAUCUUUUACCUUAAUUGUUAGAUGGGUGUUGAUACCAAACUUUUUUUUCUCGUCUACCCAGGAGAAAGUCAUGGGUUCUGCUGCUGAGGUUGUCAUAAAGCAUGCUUUUUUCCAUUUGUUGCAUUUGGCAAUAUUAUCAAAAGAUUCUGAAAGAAAUAAGAUAAUUUUCAAAGCAUUAACAUGAAUAUGAAAGUCAUUAAUGACCAUCUUUUAUUAUUGUUUAUUUACAGUGUCUUUUAUUCUGCUUACCUGACUCAUGCAGAAUUCUGGCUUGAUGUUUGGUCCACCUGUUAGCUGGCUCUGGUGCUUGGUAGUCUUCUCAAACCUCUGAAUCAAGACCACCAUGAGAGGCCUUCUGAAGACCAUCAUUACGCUGCAGAUCCAGUGGUCUUUACUAUGAGAUAGAACUGAACUGGAGUCUGUGAACUAAUGCUGUGUUCGAGACAACUUGGAUGUUUGAUAUUAUUGACCUCAAACCCAUAAGAAGUCUGGAACAGUAAACAAAGUUGAGUAUCCGACCUCUCAACUUGGGACAGAUCCAUCAACACCGACCUCAACGAGAUGCGUCAUUUGACAUUGCAGACAAGAUCCUUUCUCUUUUUUUAUGCAGCUCUUAAGGAUGAAGCACCCUGAUCUACUAAGAUGCACAGAUUCAACUCUGGCCCAGCAUCAUCCCCACACCUCAUCUGCCAUCAGUUUAAUUUAAUGUCUGUCAAUUGCAAAUGCUAUUUCAGUUAUAUUACAACUUAAUAUUAACUUUAAUUUAGACUAGUAUUGUGUAAAGCUGGGGUUUCCAAACUUUUCAUUUUAAAACCUAUAAGACAAGUAUAAUCUAUUCUAGACCCACUAAAAUAUUUUUAAAUAUACAUUUUUUUUAUGGGGUAAAACACAUUUGUUCUCUUUCAGUGGAGUCAUUUUAUUUUCAUAAUAUUUCAUAAUGUGAAGAAGUGGUUCUUAACGUUAUUCCUCGAGGCCCACUGCUCUGCACAUUUUGUAUGUCUCUUUUAUCUGACAGACUAAGUUCA